GACGAACCGUGCGAACGUUGUUCGGAAUCACUGGGCUUAAAGGGCGCGUAGGCGGCAGAUCAAGUCCGGGGUGAAAUCCUCCAGCUCAACUGGAGAAGUGCCUUGGAUACUGAUUUGCUCGAGGGAGGUAGGGGUCGAGGGAACUUCUGGUGGAGCGGUGAAAUGCGUUGAUAUCAGAAGGAACGCCGGUGGCGAAAGCGCUCGACUGGAUCUCUUCUGACGCUGAGGCGCGAAAGCUAGGGGAGCAAACGGG
rnacentral:rRNA from 1 species